CACCAUUGGAUAACUAAGCAGGGACAAAAUGCGGAAUGCUUUCGCCACCAGCCUGAGUUUGGAAACUCUCUUGAUAGUGGAGAGAAAAUAGCUAAAGGACGUCAGCAAUGGGAGCCAUGACCUGGAAGCUGCUGGUGCCUGCCCCUGUCAAGGUUAUUCUGGUUUAAGCUCUCUCUCCCUGUUGGCAUGCGAUUUCAUGCUUUUCAGCUCUCCCUUUAAAUGGAAAUGAAUAAAACGAUCUUCGUCCUCCA